rnacentral:rRNA from 1 species
UUGUAAAGCACUUUCAGUCGUGAGGAAGGUGGUAGUGUUAAUUAGCACUAUCAUUUGACGUUAGCGACAGAAGAAGCACCGGCUAACUCCGUGCCAGCAGCCGCGGUAAUACGGAGGGUGCGAGCGUUAAUCGGAAUUACUGGGCGUAAAGCGCAUGCAGGUGGUUUGUUUAAGUUACAGAUGUGAAAGACCCGGGGCGUCAACCUCGGAAUAGCAUUUGUAAACUGGCAGACUAGAGUACUGUAGAGGGGGGUAGGAAUUUCAGGUGUAGCGGUGAAAUGCGUAGAGAUCUGAAGGAAUACCGGUGGCGAAGGCGGCCCCCUCGGACAGAUACUGACACUCAGAUGCGAAAGCGUGGGGAGCAAACAGGAUUAGAUACCCCUGGUAG